UACAGAGGGGGCAAGCGUUAUUCGGAAUUAUUGGGCGUAAAGGGCGCGUAGGCGGCUUUGCAAGUGACGGGUGAAAGCCCUCGGCUUAACCGAGGAACUGCCUGUCAGACUGUAAGGCUUGAGACCGGGAGAGGUGAGUGGAAUUCCCAGUGUAGCGGUGAAAUGCGUAGAUAUUGGGAGGAACACCGGUGGCGAAGGCGGAUCUCUGGGCCGUAACUGACGCUGAGGAGCGAAAGCAUGGGGAGCGAACAGG
rnacentral:rRNA from 1 species